rnacentral:misc_RNA from 1 species
GAUGAAGAACGUAGCGAAAUGCGAUAACUAAUGUGAAUUGCAGAAUUCCGUGAAUCAUCGAGUCUUUGAACGCACAUUGCGCCCCCUGGUAUUCCGGGGGGCAUGCCUGUCCGAGCGUCAUUGCUGCCCAUCAAGCACGGCUUGUGUGUUGGGUCCUCGUCCCCCCCGGGGGACGUGCCCGAAAGGCAGCGGCGGCACCGCGUCCGGUCCUCGAGCGUAUGGGGCUUCGUCACCCGCUCUUGUAGGCCCGGCCGGCGCUUGCCGACACAUCAAUCUUUUUUCCAGGUUGACCUCGGAUCAGGUAGGGAUACCCGCUGAACUUAAGCAUAUCAAUAAGCGGAGGA